rnacentral:rRNA from 1 species
GCGCGCGUAGGUGGUUGUUAAGUUGGAUGUGAAAGACCCCGGGCUCAACCUGGGAACUGCAUCCAAAACUGGCAAGCUAGAGUAUGGUAGAGGGUGGUGGAAUUUCCUGUGUAGCGGUGAAAUGCGUAGAUAUAGGAAGGAACACCAGUGGCGAAGGCGACCACCUGGACUGAUAACUGACACUGAGGUGCGAAAAGCGUGGGGGAGCAAACAGGAUUAGAUACCCUUGU